GGUGAGGUGUCCGAGUGGCUGAAGGAGCACGCCUGGAAAGUGUGUAUAUGUUUACGCGUAUCGAGGGUUCGAAUCCCUCUCUCACCGCCA
rnacentral:tRNA from 2 species